AGUGAACGCUGGCGGCAGGCCUAACACAUGCAAGUCGAACGAACUCUUCGGAGUUAGUGGCGGACGGGUGUGUAACACGUGGGAACGUGCCUUUUGGUUCGGCAUAACUCAGGGAAACUUGUGCUAACACCGAAUGUGCCCUUCGGGGGAAAGAUUUAUUGCCAUUGGAGCGGCCGGCGUCUGAUUAGCUGGUUGGUGAGGUAACGGCUCACCAAGGCGACGAUCAGUAGCUGGUCUGAGAGGAUGACCAGCCACACUGGGAGUGGGACACGGCCCAGACUCCUACGGGAGGCAGCAGUGGGGAAUCUUGCACAAUGGGCGAAAGCCUGACGCAGCCAGGCCGCGUGAAUGAUGAAAGUCGUAAGAUUGAAAAAUUCUUUCACCGAGGACGAUAAUGACGGUACCCGAAGAAGAAGCCCCGGCUAACUUCGUG
rnacentral:rRNA from 1 species